rnacentral:rRNA from 1 species
UGAACGCUAGCUACAGGCUUAACACAUGCAAGUCGAGGGGCAUCAGGAAGAAAGCUUGCUUUCUUUGCUGGCGACCGGCGCACGGGUGAGUAACACGUAUCCAACCUGCCCUUUACUCGGGGAUAGCCUUUCGAAAGAAAGAUUAAUACCCGAUAGCAUAAUGAUUCCGCAUGGUUUCAUUAUUAAAGGAUUCCGGUAGAGGAUGGGGAUGCGUUCCAUUAGGUUGUUGGUGAGGUAACGGCUCACCAAGCCUUCGAUGGAUAGGGGUUCUGAGAGGAAGGUCCCCCACAUUGGAACUGAGACACGGUCCAAACUCCUACGGGAGGCAGCAGUGAGGAAUAUUGGUCAAUGGGCGCUAGCCUGAACCAGCCAAGUAGCGUGAAGGAUGAAGGCUCUAUGGGUCGUAAACUUCUUUUAUAUAAGAAUAAAGUGCAGUAUGUAUACUGUUUUGUAUGUAUUAUAUGAAUAAGGAUCGGCUAACUCCGUGCCAGCAGCCGCGGUAAUACGGAGGAUCCGAGCGUUAUCCGGAUUUAUUGGGUUUAAAGGGAGCGUAGGUGGACUGGUAAGUCAGUUGUGAAAGUUUGCGGCUCAACCGUAAAAUUGCAGUUGAUACUGUCAGUCUUGAGUACAGUAGAGGUGGGCGGAAUUCGCGGUGUAGCGGUGAAAUGCUUAGAUAUCACGAAGAACUCCGAUUGCGAAGGCAGCUCACUGGACUGCAACUGACACUGAUGCUCGAAAGUGUGGGGUAUCAAACAGGAUUAGAUACCCUGGUAGUCCACACAGUAAACGAGGAAUACUCGCUGUUUGCGAUAUACAGUAAGCGGCCAAGCGAAAGCAUUAAGUAUUCCACCUGGGGAGUACGCCGGCAACGGUGAAACUCAAAGGAAUUGACGGGGGCCCGCACAAGCGGAGGAACAUGUGGUUUAAUUCGAUGAUACGCGAGGAACCUUACCCGGGCUUAAAUUGCAGUGGAAUGAUGUGGAAACAUGUCAGUGAGCAAUCACCGCUGUGAAGGUGCUGCAUGGUUGUCGUCAGCUCGUGCCGUGAGGUGUCGGCUUAAGUGCCAUAACGAGCGCAACCCUUAUCUUUAGUUACUAACAGGUUAUGCUGAGGACUCUAGAGAGACUGCCGUCGUAAGAUGUGAGGAAGGUGGGGAUGACGUCAAAUCAGCACGGCCCUUACGUCCGGGGCUACACACGUGUUACAAUGGGGGGUACAGAAGGCAGCUAGCGGGUGACCGUAUGCUAAUCCCAAAAGCCUCUCUCAGUUCGGAUCGAAGUCUGCAACCCGACUUCGUGAAGCUGGAUUCGCUAGUAAUCGCGCAUCAGCCACGGCGCGGUGAAUACGUUCCCGGGCCUUGUACACACCGCCCGUCAAGCCAUGGGAGCCGGGGGUACCUGAAGUACGUAACCGCAAGGAUCGUCCUAGGGUAAAACUGGUGA